rnacentral:rRNA from 1 species
AACGAACGCUGGCGGCAGGCUUAACACAUGCAAGUCGAACGCCCCGCAAGGGGAGUGGCAGACGGGUGAGUAACGCGUGGGAAUCUACCCAGAUCUUCGGAACAACUGAGGGAAACUUCAGCUAAUACCGGAUACGCCCUACGGGGGAAAGAUUUAUCGGCUAUGGAUGAGCCCGCGUUGGAUUAGCUAGGUGGUGGGGUAAUGGCCUACCAAGGCGACGAUCCAUAGCUGGGCUGAGAGGAUGGUCAGCCACACUGGGACUGAGACACGGCCCAGACUCCUACGGGAGGCAGCAGUGGGGAAUAUUGGACAAUGGGCGAAAGCCUGAUCCAGCCAUGCCGCGUGAGUGAUGAAGGCCUUAGGGUUGUAAAGCUCUUACAGUGGGGAAGAUAAUGACGGUACCCACAGAAGAAGCCCCGGCUAACUUCGUGCCAGCCGCCGCGGUAA